CCUACGGGAGGCAGCAGUGGGGAAUAUUGCUCAAUGGGCGAAAGCCUGACGCAGCGACGCCGCGUGAGGGAUGAAGGUCUUCUGAUCGGAAACCUCUGUCAGCAGGGAAGAACAGUCACUGUGCUAAUCAGCAGUGCAUUUACGGUACCUGCAAAGGAAGCACUGGCUAACUCCGUGCCAGCAGCCGCGGUAAUACGGAGGGUGCGCGCGUUAAUCGGAAUUACUGGGCGUAAGGCGCUCGUAGGCGGGAUGUCAAGUCAAGGGUGAAAUCCCCGCGCUCAACGUGGGAACUGCCUUUGAAACUGGCAAACUGGAGUGUGGGAGAGGAAAGUGGAAUUCCAGGUGUAGGAGUGAAAUCCGUAGAUAUCUGGAGGAACAUCAGUGGCGAAGGCGACUAUCUGGAACAUAACUGACGCUGAGGAGCGAAAGCGUGGGUAGCAAACAGGAUUAGAUACCCUGGUAGUC
rnacentral:rRNA from 1 species